ensembl:lncRNA
UUCUUCAAUUGAUUCAGAGUUAUAUAAAAAUAAAGAAGACGAUCAGGAAUGUUAUUUACUUAAGGAUAUUUAUGAGGAGUUAGAAAAUGAGAACAAUACAAAAAAUAAAAAUAAUACUAAUGGAAACAACAUAGAUUAUCACAUCACGAGUGAAUGCAACGCGGUUGAAUAUAAAAAUACGAGUGAUGCACAUAUGAAAAGUUUUUCAGAAAAAAGAAACAUAAGUUUAAUACCAAAAUUAAAAUUUAAUCAUAAUAAAGAAAUAAAGCCUAAUGAUCAAACUGGAUUAACUAAUACGCAGGAUAUGACUAAAAACUCUAAGGACAUAUGUCAAAAUGUUAAUAAACAUAAAGAUAAAUAUUAUAAUAAUGAUAAGAAUAAUAUCGACAGUACUUAUAGUAACAACGAUCACUUUGACGUUAAUCACUCGGGGGAUAUUCAUUUUGAUAAUAGCCAAUUAAAAGAUGGCAAUUCCAGUGAUAAAGACAACGUGAAAAGAUACGAUCAGAUUGAACAUAAAACAGAAGUAAAUGAGUCUAUAAUUCAUGAUAAUGACAGUUAUAAUAUUAAACACGGGUCAAACAAUUUUUAUAACAAUAAUAUGAGCAAUUUGGUUUCUCAUAUUAGUGACUGUAAUGAAAAUAGAAACGAAAAUGUAAUGAAUAUCAGUUGUGAUAGUUAUAUAACAGAGAAAGAAUUUGAUAUGAAUACAAAUAAAAUGUUUGUUAAUUUUUUAAAAAAAAAAUUAAAUAUAAAUAAACAAGAAGAUAACCAAGAAAUUGAUUAUUCAAAAAUAUAUAGUUCAACAAAUGAAGAGAGCUCGAAUGAACAGCAUAAAGAAAUAAUAAGUAUGUUAAGUGAUCAUAUAAAUGAUCAUUUGUAUUUUUUAGACAAUGAAAUAAAUAUAAAAAAUCAAACGACGCAAAAUAGUAAGGGUAAUGAUACAAAUAUAUACGGUAGUGAUGAUAAUAUUAAGAGUUAUAAAAAAGGAAGUGAUAUUUGUAGUCUUAACAGAAGUAGGAGUAGGAAUAGUUGUAGGAGUCAGAGUAGGAGUAAGUGUAGGAGUCAGAGUAGGAGUAAGUGUAGGAGUCAGAGUAGGAGUAAGUGUAGGAGUCGAAGUAGGAGUAAAUGUAGGAGUAGGAAUAGUCAUGAAAGGAGUAACAAUAAUAAUCGUAACAUAAAUAGCAGUAAUAGUUGUGACAAGAGCAUCAAAAGCCAUUUUAAUACGUCCCCUAACCCAAUACUCAUAAAAAAAAAAAGCCAACUUAUAUCUGCUGCAAAUAAACUAAAUAAAAAUAAACCUAAUGAAAAAAAUGGAACAACUGAAAAGACAGAAAACAACAGUGAAAAAGAAAAAAAUAAUAAAGAAGCAGUUAAAAGAUGUAAUAGUUAUGAUAGUACUGAUAUAUGUGUUGAUUUAUAUGAUGAAGAAUCAUGGGAUGAUGAAGAUCCUAAAACGAAAGCGAAAAAAAAUAAUAUAAUAUUACCCCCUAAAAAAAAUAAAAAUAUAGCACUACCAGAUUCGAAAAAGAAUAAUGUAAACUUAAAAAAAAAUACCCGACCAACCAAUCUGAACCAAAAAACUAAUACAAUAAAAAAUUCCAACACUAAGAAAAAUAACGUCCAAAAAAAAGAACCUAAUGUUAUAUUAACAGAAGAAGAUAAUUAUAACAAUGAUAAACUGAAAGCAUUAGGAAAUGAACUACAUAAACAAAUAAGUAUGCUGGAAAAAGAAAAAGAAAAAGUAAAAAAGUUGGAAUAUGAGUUAAUUGCGAAAAGUGCUGAAAUUGAGUUGGAGCGAGAAGAAAUGAAAAAUAGAUUAGAAGAAGAGAAAAAAGAAUUUCUUAAAAUGUUAGAAGAAGAAAAAAGAAAAUGGAAAAAAGAAAAAAAAAAAAUAGAAAAUGAAGUAGACAAACAAAAAAAUAUAAAUAUGAAUAAAAGAAAAUUAACAAACGAAAUAGCAAUGUUUAAAAAUGAAAUAAAAUUAUUACAAAAUAAAAUGAAUAGUGAAAAAAAACAACACAAAUUGAUAGUAGAAAAAAUGAAAAAACAAAUAGAUGAUUUAUCUAUGAUAAAUGAAAAAUUAAAAACUGAGUUAAAAUUAUCAAAUGAAUAUAGAGAUAAAUUAGAAAACUAUCAACAAAAAACUAUAAGCUCAUUAGCACAAAAUAUGACAGAAAUAAAUAAAACAAACACAAAAAAUAAUUUUGAUUAUAUGAAAAAUGGACAUAACUACGACAAUUUAUUGGGUCAUCAUAACGAAGGAGGUGGUAUUAACGACGGAGGUGGAAUUAACGAUGGGGGUAGUGUUAACGAUGGAGGUAGUGUUAACGAUGGAUGUAGUGUUAACGAUGGAGGUAGUAUUAACUCCUCUGUUGACAGUGACAAUUUCAAAAAAAAAAACAAGUUGUUAAAACAAAUAAGGGGAAAAAAUAAAUAUACUUUAGGUACAGCUACUGUUAAUAAUAAAUAUAAUGAGCAACGAUAUUUAGAAGAAACAGGAAUAUAUGACAAAACGAACGAAUCUGAAUAUUCAAACGAUCUAGAAGAAAUUAUAAAUGAUAAAAAUGCUAAUAUUUUAAGCGAAUUUGAUAUUAUAUAUGAUACUUCUAACAGUGAUAACGAACACUAUCAAAAAAAUAGUACUUUACGCAAAAAACAC